rnacentral:tRNA from 1 species
GGGGCUAUAGCUCAGUUGGUAGAGCGCGUCGUUCGCAAUGACGAGGCCCGGGGUUCGAUUCCCCGUAGCUCCACCA